ACUAGUCUGGGAUACCACUUGGAAACAGGUGCUAAUACCGGAUAAGAAAGCGGAUCGCAUGAUCAGCUUUUAAAAGGCGGCGUAAGCUGUCGCUAUGGGAUGGCCCCGCGGUGCAUUAGCUAGUUGGUAAGGUAAAGGCUUACCAAGGCGAUGAUGCAUAGCCGAGUUGAGAGACUGAUCGGCCACAUUGGGACUGAGACACGGCCCAAACUCCUACGGGAGGCAGCAGUG
rnacentral:rRNA from 1 species